CGUAAUUUUUGGAGCAUUAGGACCCUGGGGCAAACAGCAGACCCUAGUCAGGGCUGGCGAUUACCACUGACAAGUGCAGAAGUUAAUUUCAAUUGAUGAAUUCCACAAGAUGUGAAUGUGUUCACUGAUUAAAUGGACAGAUUCUUCAGGAUUCUAGAAGGUUCUUCAUCUUCAGUAGGACAAGAGCAACAGCAGCUGUUUGGCGGAGGUAGACAGAAAGGUGACUGGGGUUCCAAAGGAACCGUAUAUCGGACAAUGCUACCAUGCUGAGUGGAUCCUGAAAGCACCACAAAGGUCCCCCCAGCUGUGAUGAAACACAACCAGUCCUGCCCUUCUGGUGCCAACACCUCGUCAAGAUCCAACCAUGGACAGGAGCUGGGACAAGACACGUUGUGGGAGUGGGAGCUAGAGAGAGAGAAAGACAAACGCUGGAGAGCACAACGGAGAGCAAGAGAGACGAAGACGAAAAGUCGAGUGCGGUUGCCGCAGAGUGGACUCAAUAAAAACAUUAUUGUAACCAGAACACCGGGCUCUCGUGCCAGUGUGUGGUGGUCAGGGGAACCCACGGCAGAGCACUGCCACAAUUAUAUGGCAGACUUUGCAUACAGUUGCAUUUUCAAGAUGUAGAUGGCAG